CCCAAACAACAAAUCAUUCUCUUCAUCAUCACACACACACUCUCUCUCUUUCUUCUCCCCCUAAAGGAAAGGCGAAAGUCUUGGGGGAUAAAAAGAUAAGAGACAGAGAGGAAACUACACAAAUAAGCAACAAAAAUACAACUCCUAACAAUCAAGAAAGGGAGCUUUUCUAUUGUGGGGAAUGUUGUCUGGCUCGAGGAAUCUUUAAUCUUGAUCAAAUUCUUUACACAGAUCUAUCAUUAUAUAUGUUUUAUAUAUUUUUUAGAUCUUAUAUAGAUCUAUAAUUGUUAGUUGUUAGACCUAUGAAUUUUGAUCAUAUUUUUUUGCGUCGUCGGACCAGGCUUCAUUCCCCUCAGAGAUUGCUGCCAUAUAUUAGUAUCGCGAUUAAGAUCUUUUUUGGUAUAUAAAUAAGGAGGUUGUUUUCAUGGCUUGGACGUGACUUCCUGGUCACACGGCGAUUCCCUGGACGUUACCUGUUACGCCAAGAUUUAUUGUAUUACCUAUAUGACCAUAAGCUUUUAUUCCUCAAGUUUACAUUUUAUUACUGUAUUGCCAGACUAAUGAGUUUUGUUUGUGUACUGCUGGUGUAAAGUCUAUAUGUGCAUUGGCUUCAAGUUUAGGCUUGUUCUUGAAUAUGAAACAGACUCACAUAAGUGGUGCUUUUUGCAGUUUUAUCGUCAACUCGAAGGCACAUGUAACAACUGAUUGAUCUAUUGAUUAAUCUUAUAUUCAUUCACAGUUAAUCAUUUACACUAUCAGUAUAAAUUAACUUGUUUUAAAAAUGCUACACUUGUCUUAUUUUGCAGGUUCUUAACACCAUUGACUAUGGGUAGCUUUAAAUACAAAAAAUUAUUAUACUUUCAAUGUGAAAAAGUUAACCCUGAGAACACUACUUCUAGCGGUUGUAUAUGGAAAAGUAUUUGCUACUAUAUUUUUGUUGCUAUGAUGCAGUACUGUUGAGUACUUAGUGAUUGUUUUUAUUUGUUUGUAAACAGGCCUAGGUUUAAUUAUUCUUAUAGCUCUUAGGUUUGAGUUGGGAAAACAAGAGAGGAAAGUCAUUAAUGAAUACACUGAAAAACAUCUGACUGGAAAUGAAGUGGUCUAAAUGAAUGACAUAAAAAGGUGAGAGGUAGACAUCCUGCUAAGAAAAAAGAUAAGCUAUGUAGACCUAUAGGAGAGAUAACAACAAUUAAGUGUAGGCUUUCGACUACUUCCUGCAUAUUAAGAAAAACCAAAACAAAGUUCAUUAAGAAUCUAAAAAACCUAGAUUUCUGAAGUAGUAAUAACUCAGUCACAUUUAAAUCAUUAAUGAUGAAUGUUUCAAGAAAUUAUGCAGUCAUCUGGUAAAUUGGUGUUUAUCGCAAUAUUUGAAUGUAAGCGCAUUGCCGGCUCUCAUGCUCUUUCAGCAACACCAAAAGGUGCAUCAUGAAGGACAGUUCGGUGCAUCAUGAAGUAUUUGCGUCCACACAGAGUUCGAGGAAGAAUCGCAUCCUAAAAAGUGAUGUAAGUGACCUACCCUAAUGCAAGUAUCAAUGACUGAUUUGACCACCUUUGAACCAUCAGAAAUUGUUAGAAGUCUUGGUGAUUUUGAAUCUUUUUGACUUUACAAGCUUGAAAGUGGGAAUGUUAGCUUUUGUGUUACUAGUUUUUUACACCACAUACACACCCGCAAAGAAAGUUAGCUCGAUUUUGAUGCAUGAAUGGUCCAUUCGUUGACUAUUUACUGUACAUUGUUUGGUGCAUUAAAGAAAAGCUUUGACACUAUAA